rnacentral:pre_miRNA from 1 species
UUUCUGUGUGUUCAAUGGAAGCGCUACCAAAUGUAUCCAUCUGAUCGCACAGGAUUC